rnacentral:rRNA from 1 species
GAUGAACGCUGGCGGCGUGCCUAAUACAUGCAAGUCGAGCGAACAGACGAGGAGCUUGCUCCUCUGACGUUAGCGGCGGACGGGUGAGUAACACGUGGAUAACCUACCUAUAAGACUUGGAUAACUUCGGCAAACCGGAGCUAAUACCGGAUAAUAUAUUGACCCGCAUGGUUCAAUAGUGAAACACGGUUUUGCUGUCACUUAUAGGUGGAUCCGCGCCGCAUUAGCUAGUUGGUAAGGUAACGGCUUACCAAGGCAACGAUGCGUAGCCGACGUGAGAGGGUGAUCGGCCACACUGGAACUGAGACACGGUCCAGACUCCUACGGGAGGCAGCAGUAGGGAAUCUUCCGCAAUGGGCGAAAGCCUGACGGAGCAACGCCGCGUGAGUGAUGAAGGUCUUCGGAUCGGAAAACUCUGUUAUUAGGGAAGAACAAAUGUGUAAGUAACUAUGCACGUCUUGACGGUACCGAAUCAGAAAGCCACGGCUAACUACGUG